UACGGGGGGGGCAAGCGUUGUUCGGAAUUACUGGGCGUAAAGGGCUCGUAGGUGGCCAACUAAGUCGGACGUGAAAUCCCCAGGCUCAACUUGGGAACUGCGUCCGAUACUGGAUGGCUUGAAUUCGGGAGAGGGAUGCAGAAUUCCAGGUGUAGCGGUGAAAUGCGUAGAUAUCUGGAGGAAUACCGGUGGCGAAGGCGGCAUCCUGGACCGAGAUUGACACUGAGUGAGCGAAAGCCAGGGGAGCAAACGGG
rnacentral:rRNA from 1 species